CUUGAUUGAACCGCAUGGUUCAAUCAUAAAAGGUGGCUUUCAGCUACCACUUACAGAUGGACCCGCGGCGCAUUAGCUAGUUGGUGAGGUAACGGCUCACCAAGGCGACGAUGCGUAGCCGACCUGAGAGGGUGAUCGGCCACACUGGGACUGAGACACGGCCCAGACUCCUACGGGAGGCAGCAGUAGGGAAUCUUCCGCAAUGGACGAAAGUCUGACGGAGCAACGCCGCGUGAGUGAUGAAGGUUUUCGGAUCGUAAAACUCUGUUGUUAGGGAAGAACAAGUACCGUUCGAAUAGGGCGGUACCUUGACGGUACCUAACCAGAAAGCCACGGCUAACUACGUGCCAGCAGCCGCGGUAAUACGUAGGUGGCAAGCGUUGUCCGGAAUUAUUGGGCGUAAAGCGCGCGCAGGCGGUUUCUUAAGUCUGAUGUGAAAGCCCCCGGCUCAACCGGGGAGGGUCAUUGGAAACUGGGGAACUUGAGUGCAGAAGAGGAGAGUGGAAUUCCACGUGUAGCGGUGAAAUGCGUAGAGAUGUGGAGGAACACCAGUGGCGAAGGCGACUCUCUGGUCUGUAACUGACGCUGAGGCGCGAAAGCGUGGGGAGCGAACAGGAUUAGAUACCCUGGUAGUCCACGCCGUAAACGAUGAGUGCUAAGUGUUAGAGGGUUUCCGCCCUUUAGUGCUGCAGCAAACGCAUUAAGCACUCCGC
rnacentral:rRNA from 2 species